AUCACUUCUCGGCCUUCUGGCUAAGAUCAAGUGUAGUAUCUGGUCUUACCAGUUUAAUAUCUGAUACGUCCUCUAUCCAAGGAGAAUAUAUUAAAUGGAUUUUUGGAACAGGGAGAUGGAAUAGGAGCUUGCUCCGUCCACUCCAUGCAUCAACCUGGUAUUGCAGUACCUCUAGGAACGGUGCACCAAAA
rnacentral:snRNA from 1 species